GGAGAGAUGGCUGAGUGGACUAAAGCGUCGGAUUGCUAAUCCGUUGUACGAAUUAUUCGUACCGAGGGUUCGAAUCCCUCUCUCUCCGACCCCCU
rnacentral:tRNA from 4 species